GGUUCAGUAGCAUAAUGGUUAAUGCACCAGCAUAUACUGUUCAUUCUUUCCAACAUGAUUAUUCUGACUACCUUUGUUCAACUCAAGGCUGAAUCA